AGGAAGGCAGCAGGCGCGCAAAUUACCCAAGCCCGAUACGGGGAGGUAGUGACAAUAAAUACUGAUACAGGGCUCUUUUGGGUCUUGUAAUUGGAAUGAGAACAAUCUAAAUCCCUUAACGAGGAACAAUUGGAGGGCAAGUCUGGUGAACCUCAGUGUUCUAACAUGCUGACGCCAGAGAUAGUGGGCCUCGUCCCCCCCGUGGGGGGCGGGGUAUGCCCGCUAGUCGAGCAUUCGCAAUAGCGAUGGGUGAAUGCCGGCGAGGUGACCUGGUACGGGGAAGCCUACGGCCCAAUCCGAUUGGGCUAUGGUAAUCCCGUGGCGAGCCCCCUUCCGGGGCCGUCGUAACGCGCGGAAAGGCACCGGUUGCUCGCCUCCGGGCGGGUGACUCGAGGGACGUGCUGUCCCAUCCAAAAGGAUGCCCGUAACUGGAACACCCAUCGUGUAAAGGUUACGGGGGGUGGUUUACGCCGCCUGGGUGAUAUAAACGGCCAGCAGCCGCGGUAAUUCCAGCUCCAAUAGCGUAUAUUAAAGUUGUUGCAGUUAAAAAGCUCGUAGUUGAACCUUGGGCCCGUCCUGCCGGUCCGCCUCACCGCGAGUACUGGUCCGGAUGGGCCUUUCUUUCUGGGGAAUCCCAUGGCCUUCACUGGCUGUGGCGGGGAACCAGGACUUUUACUGUGAAAAAAUUAGAGUGUUCAAAGCAGGCCUUUGCUCG
rnacentral:rRNA from 1 species